AGGAGUUGUGUUUGGAGCUGGUUAUCAGACAGGAGGAGCUGGGUCAUCCCGAGCAGAAGGUACACCGCGAGGUGAUGCAGAUCGUUAGAUGUAGGAAUACUCCUGUUUAUGAAUUACUAUUUUGGAAUGUAAUAUUCAUGUCUUUACUUUGAGUGUAAAUCCUUUUGUGUUGUAAAAAUUAAGUAGAAGGUGUAAUAUGUAGUGGAUGUAUUAUAUAUAUGUAUAGUUGUUAGUAUGACCAAAUCAUUUUCAAAAUGAUAAGAUAAGAUUUAUUAUAAAUAUAAUAUGACUCUUAAUCUUAA